UACGGAGGGUGCAAGCGUUGUCCGGAUUUAUUGGGUUUAAAGGGUGCGUAGGCGGUCUUUUAAGUCAGUGGUGAAAUCCUCCAGCUCAACUGGAGAACUGCCAUUGAUACUGGAAGUCUUGAGUAUAGUUGAGGUAGGCGGAAUUGACAGUGUAGCGGUGAAAUGCAUAGAUAUUGUCAAGAACACCGAUUGCGAAGGCAGCUUACUAAACUAUAACUGACGCUGAGGCACGAAAGUGCGGGGAUCAAACAGG
rnacentral:rRNA from 1 species